rnacentral:lncRNA from 1 species
CACUAGUUAACUGCAAGCCACCCUAGAAUUGGCAGAAUAGGGGCUCUAAAGCACCAAAUAAGGUGCAAUUGCCCCCUGUGAAUUCUAGCAUUCAGAAUUGCACCUGCAAAUUCUCCACCUACCUUGACAAUGAUCUAAUGCCGGCACUAGUGAUAGCCAAGAGACUGCUGAUGUCCACCAUGAUCUCCACCGCAAUCGAUUAAAUCAUCCAGUUACCUAAGAGAAAAUAUUGGAAGCAGGUCCACUCCAAAACAUUAGGGAUUGCAAUACCUCUUGGGAUUCUUCCAAGUAGCCACUAGUGUUGGUGUGUUAGCUCCACUCUAAAAUCUAUUGCUAUGACUAUGAUUUCUUCACUGUUUUCAUGGUAUCAGAGCAAUUGGCUCCUUGAUCUUGG